rnacentral:rRNA from 1 species
GCCAGCAGCCAUUUCACCCUGCAAGCCUCACAACUGGCAGCCCACUGAAGCUCAGCAGACGUGAGCCUGUUCAGUACCUGGAUGGGAGACCUCCUGGGAAAAACUAAGGUUGCUGCUGGAA